AGUCACUCUGCUAUAAAGUCAAUCUCUAAAACUCAAUCUUUGUGUCUAACUGAAACUGUACCCUGUGAACAACAUCUCCCCAUUCCCUAUCCCUUGCCUCCAGCAUUAACUAGCAUUCUACUCUCUACUUUUAAGGGUUUGCCUUUUUUCGAUUGCUAAAAAGUCCAUUUUCAGUGUUCUCACAACAAAAAGAUAAAUAUGUGACAUAAGAGAUGUGUUAAGCAGCUUGAUUUAAUCAUUCCACAGUAUAAAUAUAUACGAAGACAUCAUACUGUACCCCUCAAAACAAUUAUUAUUUAUUUAAAACAUUUAAAAACAAAAAAUGAGACAAAUAUCAGGAAAGUAAUUUUAUACAUAAGCUAGAUAAUUGCCUAUAGCUGCGUAUGCUGUGAAAUAAUUUCUGUUUGAAAAGACAGGAAAAAUUAUAUGGCAAAACCAUAGUGCAGUAAUAAAUUUGUCAUGUUUAGUAAACAAAAUAUAGUUCAAUGUGACUGAAGCAUACUAAGAGGCAGAAGAAUGUGGUGUACACUGUAGUGUAGAGGAGUGUCUUAGUUUGGGCUGCUAUACAAAAUACCAUAGAUUGAGUGGCUUACAAAUAACAAAAAAAGUAUUUCUUACUGUUCUAGGGGUUGGAAGUCCAAAGUCAGAGUGCCAGGAUGUUCUGGUUUUGGGGAGGGCCCUUUUGCAGGCUGCAGACUGCUGGGUUUUUGUAUAAGCACAUGGGGAAAGAAGUGAGAGCUCUCUUAGGUCCCUUUUAUAAGAACACUAAGCCUAUUCAUGAGGCCUCUACUAUCACAACCUAAUUACCUCCUGAAGGUCCCACAUACUAAUACCAUUACAUUGACAGUUAAGAUUUCAAUAUACAGAUUUUGAGGGUACACUUUAAAAAUUCAGUCCGUAACAUUCUGCCCCAGGUUCCCCAAAAUUCAUGUCUUCACAUGCAAAAUGCAGUCAUUCCAUUCCAACAAAUCCACAAGUCUUAACUCAUUCCAGCCUCAAGUCCAGUCUAAAGUCCAAGGUCUUAUUUAAAUAUUACCUAAAUCAGAUGCAGAUGCAGCAAAAAUAAAGUUAGGUAAGUUCCAAAAGCUGAGAGCUCCCUUCAUUGGUAACAAAUUAGCACCUAUGGACAUUUUGCAUACAUAUAUACUACUACAUUCUGCACAAGAAAUUGUGCUUGUUAUAAAGGCAGGACUAUCCUCAAGGAAACCUUGAGUUAUCCACAGUUAAUUCAGAAUAAAUAUCAAUGGAUUGCAAAGUCCUCUGCUAAGGCUCUGAAUUUGCACCUUUAAAGAAAUCAGCCUUUCACAUUUAUUAGAGGUACGAACUGUUAAUAUACUUAAUUUUUGCCUUUUAUUAAAUCAAGAUUCUAAUAGACAAUAGGUUAUAAAAUGCUGCAUACUGAUGAAAAAAAAUUCAAGCCAAAAACUACUAGCAAAUUCUGCUAAUAAACAUUUUAGAUAAAAUAUAGUUACAUUUUUGUUUUGAGCUCAUCUGAAUCAAUUGUGUUAGAGUUCUGAUUACUAGUUUUUCUCAUUGCUAUUUCAUAAUAAAAAGGCUAUGCAAAUGAGGUUCAUUAAUUAUUAACUACAGUUUUAAAUCAUUUACUUAUUUACAUCUGCAACAUUCUUCUACAGAUUUCAAUAAAUUUUUGAGUGUUUUUAUAACCAGAAUGGUCUUGAGGGGAUUCCCAUAGAAUUAUAGAUAAUUUGAUAAAGCAAUAUAAACAUCAUAAAAUUAUUCCUAUUGUCAUUUAAUUUUGAAAUACAUAACAUAAUACAAAUUGAGCAACAUAUCUAGUUAAUGUCAAAAUCAUAUGUCUCAAAAGCACACUAUACUUUAAAUUACCAUGUAAUUAUAUAUCAAAUUACUCAUUAAAAAUAGCAUUACCUACCUUCCAAAAUGAAUUCUUUUAAAUUAUUUUUAAUUCAACAGCAAAAAUUUAAAUGGAAGUAGGAGCUUGAUUGCAUAUUAUAUUUUUGGAUUACAUCACAAAUAAAAAUAUACUUUAUGAAAAUUUCUCUAUUCAUUGUUUAAUUGCAAUAUAUCUUAGCUGAGUUACAUUUAUUAAAUGCAGACAGUUAACUAUUAAACAUUAAAACAAUUUAGAACAAUAUUAAAGCAAUAAGGCUAAUUUUCCUCUCUUUCCUGUCAGGUGAAGACAAUAUUCCAGCACUAGAAAUAAUAAGGAUGUAUACUAUACACACACACACACACACACACACACACACACACACACACACACAUAUAUAUAUAAAACAUAUGGCAAUUAGUCUUAAAAUCAUACUUCAAGUUAUUUAUUAGUAAUGAUUACACAUAAUUAUUUUUGAAAUGUGUUGGUUCCAUGUGUUUCUUCUGUGUUCUAUAAAUGCAAUGUAAAACUCUCACUGAGAUAAAAAUCCCAUAAUCUUCUCUUUUCAAAAAUUAUUAUAAACUAUUAGUAUAAUAUGUGCAUAUACUAACAUAUGCAUACUCCCUCAGCUGUAAACAUACUUCAGUUAUUUAUGACUUUGGACUGCAAAAGGGACAAUCAUAAAUAUAACAUAUAUAUUACAUAAUUUUUUUCUAAUAUUAGUUACCCUUUUAUUAUUUAGACAGUAUCAAUGAUGAGACUUUACUAAAACACCUAAGGAAUAAUUUCUAUAAUUAUAUAUUUGUAUAAAUAUCAAUAAAUAUCUCAACUUCUUUG
rnacentral:lncRNA from 1 species